CCGUGCCAGCAGCCGCGGUAAUACGGGAGUGGCAAGCGUAUCCGGAAUUAUUGGGCGUAAAGCGUCCGCAGGCGGCCUCAAGUCUGCUGUUAAAAAGUGGAGCUUAACUCCAUCAUGGCAGUGGAAACUGUUGGGCUUGAGUGUGGUAGGGGCAGAGGGAAUUCCCGGUAUAGCGGUGAAAUGCGUAGAUAUCGGGAAGAACACCAGUGGCGAAGGCGCUCUGCUGGGCCAUCACUGACGCUCAUGGACGAAAGCCAGGGGAGCGAAAGGGAUUAGAUACCCCUGUAGUCCUGGCCGUAAACGAUGAACACUAGGUGUCGGGGGAAUCGACCCCCUCGGUGUCGUAGCCAACGCGUUAAGUGUUCCGCCUGGGGAGUACGCACGCAAGUGUGAAACUCAAAGGAAUUGACGGGGGCCCGCACAAGCGGUGGAGUAUGUGGUUUAAUUCGAUGCAACGCGAAGAAUCUUACCAGGGUUUGACAUCCUGCGAAUCUCUUGGAAACAGGAGAGUGCCUUCGGGAACGCAGUGACAGGUGGUGCAUGGCUGUCGUCAGCUCGUGUCGUGAGAUGUUGGGUUAAGUCCCGCAACGAGCGCAACCCACGUCUUUAGUUGCCAGCAUUUAGUUGGGCACUCUAGAGAGACUGCCGGUGAUAAACCGGAGGAAGGUGUGGAUGACGUCAAGUCAUCAUGCCCCUUACAUCCUGGGCUACACACGUACUACAAUGCUACGGACAAAGGGCAGCAAGUUCGCGAGGACAAGCAAAUCCCAUAAACCGUGGCUCAGUUCAGAUCGUAGGCUGCAACUCGCCUACGUGAAGGCGGAAUCGCUAGUAAUCGCAGGUCAGCAUGCUGCGGUGAAUACGUUCCCGGGCCUUGGACACACCGCCCGUCACACCAUGGAAGUUGGCCACGCCCGAAGCCGUUACUCCAACCCUUGUGGAGGAGGAC
rnacentral:rRNA from 1 species